rnacentral:rRNA from 1 species
CUACGGGGGGCUCCAGUGGGGAAUAUUGCACAAUGGAGGAAACUCUGAUGCAGCAACGCCGCGUGGAGGAUGACACUUUUCGGAGCGUAAACUCCUUUUAUGUAGGAAGAAGAUGACGGUACUAUAUGAAUAAGCGCCGGCUAACUCCGUGCCAGCAGCCGCGGUAAUACGGAGGGCGCAAGCGUUACUCGGAAUCACUGGGCGUAAAGAGCGUGUAGGCGGAUUAAAAAGUCAGAAGUGAAAUCCUAUAGCUUAACUAUGGAACUGCUUCUGAAACUCUUAAUCUAGAAUAUGGGAGAGGUAGAUGGAAUUUCUGGUGUAGGGGUAAAAUCCGUAGAGAUCAGAAGGAAUACCGAUUGCGAAGGCGAUCUACUAGAACAUUAUUGACGCUGAGACGCGAAAGCGUGGGGAGCAAACAGGAUUAGAUACCCCUGUAGUC